AGUAUUGAGUGAUAGUAACAAAUGAGUAAUGGCGGCGAAGCACGUUGUUUAUUUCGUGCAUGGAGAUAGCUGAUACUGAACAUUUUUCGAACUUUUUCCUCUUCUCCAUCAACAUCAAAUUGUUUUGAACAACAGCAGUGAUUACUGCAUUAACUGAAACGCUUAGAGCGUUUGUUCGUAGGCUACGGUUAGUUUGUUUAUCUUGCAGCAAUGGCGGAUGCCGUAGCGGUCAGAAAUCGUUAUCGCCGAAGACGAAGUUUUUGUAUCUUCUCAUCCGGGAUUGAUUGCUGAUGCUGUCCACUUUGAACCCUCUCAGCACUGGAACCUUCCAAAGUGAGCCGGAAAAUUUAUUGAUGGAAUGCGGAUUCAACUGUGCAACUGAGUGAACAGAACUCCUUGAACAGAAAAGGGAAGUUUGCCGCGAAUAUGCAAAUUGUUUGUGACAUUAAUUGUGAAAAAUUGGAAUCGUCCAAAGAUGGCCCAGUUGUACCUAUCAAUCUUAUUUAAUCUCUAUAUAUGAGGGCAGAAAUAAAAAAGGUACUGAUGAUGACAGCAAAGCAAACUAUUAAUUCGACAUUGGCAC